UUAUGCUUCCUACAUCUCAACACUUGUAUUCAAGGUGUAUUUAAGUUCUGACCUUUCGUAGUUACCAUAUUUGUAUCAAAGAAAACAAAUAUUUUUAAGCAUCAUCCAAUUGUAUCAUAACUAAGAAGAAAAACUGCAGUACAAACUUUUGUAUUAUCAAAGUUGAUAGUUUCAUAUUGUCUUUUCAGAACAUCAUACUCAGAUCACGAAAUCACAUCAAGAAUAACAAACUCGUAAUAUNNNNNNNNNNNNNNNNNNNNNNNNACUUCAAGAAGUCAGUUGAAUAAAUGGAAGAACACAGAAUCAAAUAUCAAACUCACAACUCAGAUUUCAGACCACAGUACUUUCGUCACACUCAGGUUCAACAAGAUGAAGGUCUUGACAGCAGGUUUGUUGCACACAGAAGUCUUGGCGGCACAUCGUACUUGCACUUUGUCCCCAAUCUCGUCGCAGUUCAUGUGUGCAACCAUGACAUGAAUUUUAUGCAUGAGGGUGCAAAAUCAGCAUUCAUCUCAGAAUGACACGGCUGUAUAUGAAGGAGAAGGGCCCUGGAAUACAUGUUCUAGAAUAGCAUACAUCUAAGCUUGUACUAUAAAUACAUGUUCCAUAAAUAAUAUAAACCAAAAUUGAAGAUAAAUACUCAUCCAAAAAUGCAAAAUCAGUAAUUAUAAAGAUCCAAGCUUGUACCUGUUGUGUACAAUUCAAGUCUUUGGAAUCACAAAGUCAAAGUUUCACUUAAACCAGCACUGUCCCAAUUCACUUUCUAUAGUAGCGAAAAGUUUCUCCGUAAUUCCAUUAUUAAUUCCUGAUAUAAAACCUACCAAAGUUGUUGUAUUAAAAUUUACCAGAUCACUCCACCAAAAUGAUUCUUUGACUCAAGUUUCCUACAAGUAUUAAAGAUCUAUUCCAUAAGACAUAUGUAAAUAGACAUACUAACCAUCUCUAACUGGGACAGCAAUAUAAGUGUCAUGCUUGUGCUUGUUGUGUGUACAACUCCACAGUCUAAAGAAACACCUUAAUUGACAAUAAUUGACUUUAUUAUAUGGCUGGAGCAAGUGUAGUACAAUUUGUAAACUCCUAACCCAACAAUAUUUCCAAGACAACCGUAACAAAUAUAUUCAUUCACUUCCCCACAAAUUUCAAACUCACCAAUAUCCCAAUCUUUGAAGUAUGAACACACUUAACAAAAGAAAUAACAAUAACAAAAUAACCAUCUUACCUAGUUUCAAUCUUACGAUAGACCUUUUGCGAUAAUUUCACGUAGAAGUUUCUCUGCCUUAUCAUUUUCACCUUUAUUAAACA
rnacentral:lncRNA from 1 species